UGUUGUAUGUAUUUUGUAGCUAUAAAGUAAUCUAUAAGUCAAUUAAAAUCAAUUAGGUAAUUUGGAAGUUAUAAUUUUAGAUUAUGAAAAAAUCGAUUUUCCAAGGAGUUGCAUAACAUUAUGUAACUGACUAAUAUAAUGUUUCUGUUUGAAUUCUGGCAUCAAUUCUAUUUCUUGACUUAGAACUGAUGAAAUGCAGUUGUCAACAGAUUCAAAAUGGAAAUCCUGGAAAAGAAAAUAUUUAAUUGAGGCAUUCAUAACGACGACAGUGAAAUCGAUCGACAGCAGUCCUUAAUUCACUUUCUUCUGCUUGAAAAUCCAAAGGAUGAGAAUCGACAUCUGAAAUAAAGAUUCUAAUUGUUACGAUGACGAACUUGAGUAUAUAUGGAUGUAAGAAUCUUCAUGUGUGACUUCCUCCAUUGCCGACCAAGAUAUUUGGUUUGCAUUUUCAAGAGUUUCAAAGCAUACAACUGAAACAUGGCAUGUCUUACUUUGAGAGUUUUUUGUAAUAUAGGCGUCGAUUUGAAAACAACAAGCAUCUGAAAAUAUAGAUACGAUGAUUUAAGAUGUAAUUUAAUUAAAAUCAAUAUUGUGGUCUACCAUAAUACGUGAUUGUUUCCACUUGGUUAACUUAUUCAAAACACGAAGUAAAUUGAUACAAGAAAACAUUAUUCUCCAACAAUAUACAGAUGUAUCUCCUACUUCAACAGUUUCGGCAGUCAGAACUGGUUGUUCUCCUAUAACACAAGACGGGAAGUCUAGCAACGCAAUACUUUGAAUGAAAACAUACAUUAUUGAAUUAGGCAAUGAAUAAUUAUUAGUGGUUAACUGAAUUCCUUACUUAUUUUUUGAUGAAAUAUAUGAAGACAUUUUCUGAU
rnacentral:lncRNA from 1 species